rnacentral:rRNA from 1 species
AAAACAUAACCUUUAGCCAAACAAAUAUUAAAGGCAAUGCCUGCCCAGUGAACAAUUAAACGGCCGCGGUACCCUAACCGUGCAAAGGUAGCGUAAUCACUUGUCUAUUAAUUGUAGACCAGUAUGAAAGGCAAAAUGAGGGUCUAUCUGUCUCUUACAGUAAAUCAAUUAAACUGAUCUCCUAGUAAAAAAGCUAGAAUCCACACAUAAGACCAGAAGACCCUGUGAAGCUUAAACUAAACUAUUAAACCUUAUAAUACUUACUUUAGGUUGGGGCGACCUUGGAAAAAAAAAGAACUUCCAAACAUAAACCACACUCACACAUAGGCCCACAAGCCUUACAAUAGACCCAGUACAACUGAUAAUUGAACCAAGUUACUCCAGGGAUAACAGCGCCAUCUUCUUCAAGAGCCCAUAUCAAAAAGAAGGUUUACGACCUCGAUGUUGGAUCAGGACAUCCUAGUGGUGCAGCCGCUUCUAAGGGUUCGUUUGUUCAACGAUUAACAGUCCUACGUGA